rnacentral:rRNA from 1 species
CACGUACCGGACGAACGUUAUUCGGAAUCACUGGGCUUAAAGAGUCCGUAGGCGGCUCGGUAGGUGAGGUGUGAAAUCCCACGGCUCAACCGUGGAACUGCGCUUCAAACCACCGGGCUUGAGGGAGAUAGAGGUGAGCGGAACUGAUGGUGGAGCGGUGAAAUGCGUUGAUAUCAUCAGGAACACCGGUGGCGAAAGCGGCUCACUGGGUCUCUUCUGACGCUGAGGGACGAAAGCUAGGGGAGCGAACGGG